AUUGAACGCUGGCGGCAGGCUUAACACAUGCAAGUCGAGCGGGGAAAGGUAGCUUGCUACUUAACCUAGCGGCGGACGGGUGAGUAAUGCUUAGGAAUCUGCCUAUUAGUGGGGGACAACAUCUCGAAAGGGAUGCUAAUACCGCAUACGUCCUACGGGAGAAAGCAGGGGACCUUCGGGCCUUGCGCUAAUAGAUGAGCCUAAGUCGGAUUAGCUAGUUGGUGGGGUAAAGGCCUACCAAGGCGACGAUCUGUAGCGGGUCUGAGAGGAUGAUCUGCCACACUGGGACUGAGACACGGCCCAGACUCCUACGGGAGGCAGCAGUGGGGAAUAUUGGACAAUGGGGGGAACCCUAAUCCAGCCAUGCCGCGUGUGUGAAGAAGGCCUUUUGGUUGUAAAGCACUUUAAGCGAGGAGGAGGCUACCGAGAUUAAUACUCUUGGAUAGUGGACGUUACUCGCAGAAUAAGCACCGGCUAACUCUGUGCCAGCCGCCGCGGUAA
rnacentral:rRNA from 1 species